rnacentral:rRNA from 1 species
AUGUCUCCCGCUGCCGCCGCCCCCGCGCCAUGCGAUGAUCGCGUCCGCAGCUUCGAGGACUUCGCGCGGGUGCACCAGUUCCUGCUGAUUGCGGCCGGCGUGCCGCCGUCGCUGCAUCGGCGGCUGUACCGCAAGCUCGCCGACGAGGUGUUCGACGGCGGGGAGAGAUUCUCCGUCGAGCCCUGCGAGGAAGGGAGGCAGCGCCGCCUCGUGCUCGCCUCGGACACGGCUCUAGGGAGGGAGGCAGACGUCUUCCUCGUCGACCACGCGUGGUCCUUCCGCCUCUCCGAUGCGCUCAAGCAGCUACGUGAAGUACCAGGAUUGGCUGAGAGAAUGGCAGCUCUAAUGUGUGUGGAUCUGGAUAGGAAAACUGAGGUCGAAGAGUCAGAUGAGCAAUGCAGUGAAAAUGGUGGGGGUUUGGAGCAUGUCUUGCAGGUGGUGGAGAAAGAAAGGAUUAGAAUUCAGGAGUCGGGAAGUGAUUUUGCUGCAUGGCUGGAGCUUGAGGAGCUUGGUAUCGAUGAUGAUAUGUUAGUGGCACUGGAUUUAUCUGCAAAUUUUCCGAAUCUGGUAGCCCUCAAUCUAUGGGGAAACAAGCUGCAGGAUCCAGAAAAAGUAAUGCAAGAAAUCGGGAAGUGUGGAAGGUUAAAGGCACUUUGGUUGAAUGAGAACCCUGUCCUUAACCAAUGCACUGAGAAAGAUGUUCUUGAUGGUCUUCCUGAAUUGGAAAUCUACAAUUCACAUUUUACAAGGAAAGCUAGAGAGUGGGCUUUAGGUUUCUGUGGGGAUAUGGUUGGAGCAGAAAAUCCCUGUUUGUCUGUGGGAAACAUAUCAUUGGAUAAUAUUGUGACUCUUGACCUUUCUGAUAGGUCCAUCCACAAACUACCUGAGGUGUUCUCCUCUAGUAAACUGUCAUCUCUUUCAAAUUUGAACAUCCGUGGCAAUCCUUUGGACCAAAUGUCUGGCAAUGAUCUCUUUAAGUUAUUUAGUGGGUUUACACAGUUACAGGAGUUGGAGGUAGACAUUCCUGGCCCUCUUGGAGACAGUGCAAUUACCAUUAUUGAGUCUCUUCCCAAUAUAAAUUUGCUGAAUGGUGUCAAUGCGUUAACUAUAGUCGAGAACGCUAAGCAUGUAGUGGACUCUGCACUUAAACCACGUGUUCCAGAAUGGUCACCUGAAGAAUCCCUGGCUGAAAGAGUUAUUGGUGCAAUGUGGCUGUAUCUUAUGACAUACCGGCUUGCCGAUGAAGAAAAGUUUGAUGAAACACCCAUUUGGUAUGUCAUGGAUGAGUUGGGCUCAGCCAUGCGCCAUAGUGAUGAUGCAAACUUUAGGAUAUCUCCUUUUUUGUUCAUGCCAGAAGGAAAAUUAGCUUCUGCUAUAAGUUACACAAUUCUGUGGCCUAUUUGUGAUGUUCAUACUGGAGAAGAAUGUACCCGGGAUUUCUUGUUUGGUAUUGGCGAAGACAAACAACGCUCAGCUAGGCUUACAGCCUGGUUCCACACACCAGAGAAAUAUUUUAUUCAGGAAUUCAGGAAGUAUGAGGAGCAGCUUCAGUCAACUAGUAUUUGUCCUAUAAAAGAGGCGCCCUCAACCAAAAGUGUACGUCCAAGUGAUGGCCGUCCACUUCGAGUAUUUACUGAUAUACCCCAAGUAGAGGAGUUCUUAACACGUCCAGAGUUUGUUCUCACAACUGAUCCGAAGGAUGCAGACAUCAUCUGGGCAGGCAUGCAAAUUGAUUCUGAAUUAAAGAGUUCACUAGGUCUCACAGACCAACAAUACAUGAAUCAGUUUCCUUUUGAGGCUUGUCUGGUCAUGAAGCACCACUUAGCGGAUACUAUCCACAGGGCAUGGGGCUCACCUGAGUGGCUUCAACCUACAUAUAACCUAGAGACCCAUUUGUCUCAACUAAUUGGCGAUUACUCUGUGAGGAAACGGGAUGGUAAGGACAACUUAUGGAUCAUGAAGCCUUGGAAUAUGGCAAGAACAAUUGAUACCACUGUCAGUGGUGAUCUAUCUGCUAUCAUCCGACUUAUGGAGACGGGUCCCAAGAUAUGCCAAAAGUAUAUUGAGUGUCCUGCGCUUUUCCAAGGAAGAAAGUUUGAUCUUCGGUACAUUGUUUUGGUCCGCAGUAUAUGCCCUUUGGAUAUACUUCUUUGUGAUGUUUUUUGGGUCAGGUUAGCAAACAAUCAGUACACUUUGGAGAAAACUAGCCUUUUUGAGUACGAGACCCAUUUCACUGUGAUGAACUAUAAUGGAAGGAUGAACCAUAUGAAUACUCCAGAGUUCGUCAAGGCGUUUGAGAAGGAGCACCAAGUUAAAUGGCUGGAGAUUCAUGAAAGCAUACGUAUUAUGAUAAGGCGUGUCUUUGAGUCAGCCUCAGCUGUCCAUCCUGAGAUGCAGAACUCAUUCUGUCGGGCCAUCUAUGGUGUUGAUGUUAUGCUUGAUGAUAAAUUCAAGCCAAAGAUUUUGGAGGUGACGUAUUGCCCGGACUGCACGAGGGCGUGCCAAUAUGACACGCAAGCCCUCGUAGGAAGCCAGGGCCCCAUCAAAGGCAGUGAUUUUUUCAACACGGUGUUUGGCUGCCUCUUUCUCGAUGAUUUGACGAAUGUGUCACCACUGUAA